CAGUGGGGAAUAUUGGGCAAUGGAGGAAACUCUGACCCAGCGACGCCGCGUGCGGGAUGAAGGCCUUCGGGUUGUAAACCGCUUUCAGCAGGGAAUAAGCGCAAGUGAAGGUACCUGCAGAAGAAGCACCGGCUAACUAUGUGCCAGCAGCCGCGGUAAUACAUAGGGUGCAAGCGUUGUCCGGAAUUAUUGGGCGUAAAGAGCUCGUAGGUGGUUUGUUACGUCGGUUGUGAAAUUCAGGGGCUCAACCCCUGACUUGCAGCCGAUACGGGCAAGCUAGAGUUUGGUAGGGGAGACUGGAAUUCCUGGUGUAGCGGUGGAAUGCGCAGAUAUCAGGAGGAACACCGAUGGCGAAGGCAGGUCUCUGGGCCAAUACUGACACUGAGGAGCGAAAGCGUGGGGAGCGAACAGGAUUAGAUACCCCAGUAG
rnacentral:rRNA from 1 species